GAUGAACGCUGGCUACAGGCUUAACACAUGCAAGUCGAGGGGAAACGGCAUUGAGUGCUUGCACUGAAUGGACGUCGACCGGCGCACGGGUGAGUAACGCGUAUCCAACCUUCCCGUUACUGCGGGAUAACCUGCCGAAAGGCAGACUAAUACCGCAUGUUCUUCGAUGACGGCAUCAGAUUCGAAGCAAAGAUCCGUCGGUAACGGAGGGGGAUGCGUCUGAUUAGCUAGUUGGCGGGGCGACGGCCCACCAAGGCGACGAUCAGUAGGGGUUCUAAGAGGAAGGUCCCCCACAUUGGAACUGAGACACGGUCCAAACUCCUACGGGAGGCAGCAGUGAGGAAUAUUGGUCAAUGGGCGGAAGCCUGAACCAGCCAAGUAGCGUGCAGGAUGACGGCCCUACGGGUUGUAAACUGCUUUUAUGCGGGGAUAAAGUGAGGGACGCGUCCCUUUUUGCAGGUACCGCAUGAAUAAGGACCGGCUAAUUCCGUG
rnacentral:rRNA from 1 species